rnacentral:rRNA from 1 species
UGACUGGGGCGGUCGCCUCCUAAAGAGUAACGGAGGCGCGCGAUGGUAAGCUCAAGCCGGUCGGACAUCGGCUGUUGAGUGCAAUGGCAUAAGCUUGCCUGACUGUGAGGUCGACGGACCGAGCAGAGACGAAAGUCGGUCAUAGUGAUCCGGUGGUCCCGAGUGGAAGGGCCAUCGCUCAACGGAUAAAAGGUACUCCGGGG